rnacentral:ncRNA from 2 species
UAUAACGAAAGAAUUUUAGGUGCCUUAAUUCUAUAUAUUUAUGAUAAGUGUAGGAAUUGGGGAGAAUAGGGAAUGGAGUGAAAGACUUCAGCGGACCCACCACUGUAAUGGUAAGCCUUUAAGCAUUAUGCCACUGUUGUAUACUAAUUGAUAGUAUUGUAUGGGAAGGCGUUUAAAGGUGAUGAGCCAAAGCCAGGAGACCUGCCUAAGAUUCAAUUAUUCA